GCUGAGCUUCCUGCAGCCGUUCUUCUAAGGCUUUAAAGG
rnacentral:sRNA from 1 species